rnacentral:rRNA from 1 species
UACGUAGGGUGCGAGCGUUGUCCGGAAUUAUUGGGCGUAAAGGGCUCGUAGGCGGUUUGUCGCGUCGGGAGUGAAAACACACAGCUUAACUGUGUGCUUGCUUCCGAUACGGGCAGACUAGAGGUAUGCAGGGGAGAACGGAAUUCCUGGUGUAGGCGGUGAAAUGCGCAGAUAUCAGGAGGAACACCGGUGGCGAAGGCGGUUCUCUGGGCAUUACCUGACGCUGAGGAGCGAAAGUGUGGGGAGCGAACAGG